GGCUGAAAUUCGCCUUCAUGAAGCUGGAAUUGCUAGUAAUGGCAGGUCAGCAUACUGCCGUGAAUACGUUCCCGGGCCUUGUACACACCGCCCGUCACACCAUGAGAGUUGGGAAUACCCGAAGCCUGUGAGCUAACUUAUAGAGGCAGCAGUCGAAGGUAGAAUCAAUGAUUGGGGUGAAGUCGUAACAAGGUAUC
rnacentral:rRNA from 1 species